UGGGGAAUAUUGCACAAUGGGCGCAAGCCUGAUGCAGCCAUGCCGCGUGUAUGAAGAAGGCCUUCGGGUUGUAAAGUACUUUCAGCGAGGAGGAAGGCGUUGUGGUUAAUAACCGCAGCGAUUGACGUUACUCGCAGAAGAAGCACCGGCUAACUCCGUGCCAGCAGCCGCGGUAAUACGGAGGGUGCAAGCGUUAAUCGGAAUUACUGGGCGUAAAGCGCACGCAGGCGGUCUGUCAAGUCGGAUGUGAAAUCCCCGGGCUCAACCUGGGAACUGCAUCCGAAACUGGCAGGCUAGAGUCUUGUAGAGGGGGGUAGAAUUCCAGGUGUAGCGGUGAAAUGCGUAGAGAUCUGGAGGAAUACUGGUGGCGAAGGCGGCCCCCUGGACAAAGACUGACGCUCAGGUGCGAAAGCGUGGGGAGCAAACA
rnacentral:rRNA from 1 species